ACGGCCUACGGGGGCAGCAGUGGGGAAUAUUGCACAAUGGGGGAAACCCUGAUGCAGCGACGCCGCGUGAAGGGAGAAGUAUUUCGGUAUGUAAACUUCUAUCAGCAGGGAAGAAAAUGACGGUACCUGACUAAGAAGCCCCGGCUAACUACGUGCCAGCAGCCGCGGUAAUACGUAGGGGGCAAGCGUUAUCCGGAUUUACUGGGGGUAAAGGGAGCGUAGGCGGUGCAGCAAGUCAGAAGUGAAAGCC
rnacentral:rRNA from 1 species